GGUGGAGGAGGGGGUGAAGGUUAAUGUGCAAUUUCUAGAUGAGAAUGCCUGUGGCUUCUCUUAGCCACAUGCAAGUGAACAAGCGCUGGCAGAGAGACAGAUGGCUUAGCUUGCCCAGAGCAGCCCCAGUGCUCUUAGGGAAGGAAAAGAGCCGAUCUGGCACAUUUCAGAAGUUGCUGACGUGUUGAUGCCUGCUAAAACACGACGUGGGAAGAAGAAUGAAUGUGGGCAAGCUCGGCUAGCCACUCAGAGGGAAAUGAUCUCAUUUCUCCUGCUGGGCAACCCCCAGUUGCUG
rnacentral:lncRNA from 1 species